rnacentral:misc_RNA from 1 species
AUUAACCUUUAAAUCUCUCACUCAAUGGACUCAAUGCACUCGCUACGUCCAUAAUAUACAUAUAAAAACAGAAUUAUAAAAAUCCCGCCACAUUCUCAAAAAUAAGUAGAGCCCAAAAACCAGAACGGAUCCCUCAUCCAACUCUGCACGUAGGAACCUUCCUCUCCCCUUUCCUCCCCUGCAACUUGCAACCCCAAUAAAACCCCACCUCUAAUUCACUCCUCUUGUGCUUUCUCACCUCUUUUUCUAAUGGAAAACAUCGAUGGAAUCUCCAAACAAGUCUCCAAUAACAGCAGCUACGCUUAUAAUGGGAAGAUCAUACUUUGUUCAGGGAUCAUCCUCUUCACAGUCAUCGUCAUCAUGGUUUUUUUCCAUAGUUAUGCUCGUUGGAUCUUCAAACGCCGCCACCGCCGUCGCCACCUUCUUUCUCCCUCCAUCACCCCUUCCACUCCCGGUGUUGCCGACCGAGCGCUUGACCCAUCUGUUUUGGAAACUCUUCCUACUUUGGUUUACAGUUCGAAAACGCAGGACUCAGUGCUCGAAUGCGCCGUUUGCUUAUCCGAAUUCCAAGAUGGUGAGAAGGGGCGAGUGUUGCCCAAUUGUAAGCACACUUUUCAUGUUUGCUGUAUCGAUAUUUGGUUUCACUCUCACUCCAACUGUCCGCUCUGUAGAGCGCCAGUUCAAUCAUACAAAGUUCCCGAAACAUGUACCGAAACAGUGGUACCAGUGGUUGAAGAGGCCAGUUUACAGCUUGAAUCGAGGCAGAACAAAGAAGAUGAUGGGGGUUGCUCUGCUUCUUCGUCGCCGGCGAGUUUAUCCC